UACGUAGGGGGCAAGCGUUGUCCGGAAUUACUGGGCGUAAAGGGCCAGUAGGCGGCCAACUAAGUCCGACGUGAAAUCCCCAGGCUUAACCUGGGAACUGCGUCGGAUACUGGAUGGCUUGAAUUCGGGAGAGGGAUGCAGAAUUCCAGGUGUAGCGGUGAAAUGCGUAGAUAUCUGGAGGAAUACCGGUGGCGAAGGCGGCAUCCUGGACCGACAUUGACGCUGAGUGAGCGAAAGCUAGGGGAGCAAACGGG
rnacentral:rRNA from 1 species